CAACCCUUAUCAGAAGAAAAAUGUUAGCAGGUCUCCUGACCAGAAGAAAAAUGUUAGCAGGUCUCCUGACCAGAAGAUGAUGUAAAUCACCUAAAGCCUUUGUAUCUGAUAAGUUUGCAGGAAAAAAGCCUGGUUUCAAUAAGGGUCAAGGACUGCUGACCUUGCAUGACUUUGCACCCCCUAUUACUUUCUAUGCACAACUUAGGGUAUAAAAGCUCCUUUUGAAAAUAAAGCUACGGACCUUGCUCAACAGGCUUGGUCUCCCCGUGUCGUUCUUGCUUCCUUUUCUCUCCUUUUCUUUUCUGUUCUUCUUUCAGGCCAAAAUAAUUGGAGUGCGGGGGUCCUCUGAGACCACUUACUUGCCUGGGCUUCUAAGACCCACUCCAGAAGGUGCCUAAGGUGGGGCACUUUCCGCUAUUUGAGAGGGCGUCUGCGGCCUCCGUGGUCAGAGCAAACCUGGUGUCACGGGUUUUAUUAAUUUUCCGUGUAAACCAAUUAUAAUGAGCCUCUGAUUCUCUCCACUUUGCUAUCCUAUUCGUCAACGCCGUCCUCCAGAGGGAAUCCCUGGAUCCAACUGCAGCUGGACCCUGGUAUCUCAGGAGUUCAUCAACUGGCUUAGCUAGUUAACUACAACUAGGCAGUUAACUGAACUGCAGGGCACUCACCGGUUUCCUUUUUUUCCUCUCUGAUUUGAUAUGUCAUUGGACUACAAACACACUUCUUACUACAGAAAAGUUUCUGAAUCUGUAUUCUGACUGUUCAACCAGCAGCAGUAAUAUGGGACCAGACUAGGGUCAAUUUCAGACCUUAUUCAGGACCAUACUAUUCUCUUGUAAGUAAGAGUAAAAAGAAAGCUGCAACCAAAUUGGGUAACAAUAUCCUGGAGAAUCCCAGGGACGGGGGAGCCUGGUGGGCUGCUGUCUAUGGGGUCGCACAGAGUCGGACACGACUGAAGCGACUUAGCAGCAGCAGUAGCAGCAUAGGUUACAUUUGGCCAUCCAAUUGCAUGUGUGAGACUGAGAACACAAACAGAAAAGUACUGUUUAAAUACAUAUAAAAAUACUGCUGCUACUGCUAAGUCGCUUCAGUCGUAUCCGACUCUGUGCGACCCCAUAGACAAGAGUACUGGAGUGGGGUGCCAUUGCCUUCUCCGAAAUAUACUGCAGUCCAAAUUAAAUACUUAUCCAAUGGUCACAUGAUGAGCACAGGUGUACCUUAUUUCUGCAAUGGAACCAUAUUUCCUAAUUCUUGAGUACUUGAAGGUAUAUGAAGCUCCCUUAAGGCAGUUGUUUCCUUCCAUGUGGGAAGUUAAAACAUGGCUACCUGGAGGCCUUAACACAGCUGAAAAGCUUUAGGAUAACACCCUGAUUAGUGAUUCACUACUUCUCUGAAAACCUGGAACAUAUUUUAAAUGCUUUGCUGCUUUUUAAUUACUCUGUGUGCAAAUAUCACUUCAGUGCUAUAUAAAGUAGCCAUGGUGGUGGGGGUGGUUUAGUCACUAAGUCAUGUCCAACCCUUGUGACUUCAUGGACUAUAGCCUGCCAGGCUCUUCUGUCUGUGAGACUGCCCAGGCAAGAAUACUGGAGUGGGUUGCUUAGCCACAGGUAUGCUCUAUUUUAGAUGCUUUGAACAGUACAUAUCUAGAAUGGCCCACAGUGUUUGAAAUCCUGCAUGGACCCAUUUUUUGUGAGCAGUGAGGGAAAGUCAAGUGGGCUCAAUGAAUGCCCUUCUCUGAUGAUCCCAAACGGUCCAUUCCACCCCCCUUCCAGGCAGUUUUCUGUGAGGUAGUGUAACACAGCAGGAUGGGCACAUCACUUAGCAGGCAGCCACUGCUGGGCCUCAUUACUCCACACCCUGUUACUAGGCAACAGGUCUUGCUCAGCCAUUGGUCCGGUUCCUCAGUGGGCUCUGCCCAUAAGCCACAAACUGUCAAUGAGAAACCCUAGUUGUCCUGCUCAGCUACUGGUCAGUGCCACAGUGGACCCUGCCCACAAGUAACAGUCAGUGAGGGACCAUUAGCCAGGACUGGACCUGGAGGGUGCAAGUUGUGCCUUGGGACCUUGCUCUUUCUUGUCAGGACAGAGAAUAACAUUCAUCUGGUAGAGAUUUACAGGAACAUCGCUACCUGACCAUGACCUGACCUGAAGAACAAAGGCUCUGACACCAAGAAGUCUGCAACAACUAACCACAGCCCACCCUCACCUUUGGCUUUUGAAGGGGCUUGCUGAAAGCUUUCAGUAACCUUGGGGUUUUUAGGGUAUGAGCCACCCUCUCCUUGUAUGAACCUGUAAUAAACCUUUCUCUGUUUCAAA